AGCUUUGCGCAGUGGCAGUAUCGUAGCCAAUGAGGUUUAUCCGAGGCGCGAUUAUUGCUAAUUGAAAUAAUGAAUAUAAACAUAAUUAGAAAAUCAACAAAAUCAAGACUGGUUCUAUGUAACGUUCAACAAAAU